CUGGCGGGCAUGCGCGGGCGCCCCACUAACAUGGCGGCGGCGGUGGCGGCAGCGUGAAUCCCGGCGGCGGGGGCUGCGCGCUGCCUGACAGACCCACGAGCCGCCGGCGGCGCGCGAGGAAGCGGGUGGCUCCCCCCGCCCCUAGGCCGGAAACUGUUGUGCUGAAAGGAAGAAUUAACUGGUCUUUCAACUUCAGCCUUUUUAUUGUGAGAAGGAAGAUCACAGAAGUGUUACCAUGGGGAGAACAGCAGCUAAAGGUAGGGUUGGUGGCUUUUAUCCAAAAGGAAAGAAAGUAGAAAACAUAAAAGCUAUUUUUGAUUAG
rnacentral:lncRNA from 1 species